rnacentral:rRNA from 1 species
CCUACGGGUGGCUGCAGUGGGGAAUAUUGGGCAAUGGGCGCAAGCCUGACCCAGCAACGCCGCGUGAAGGAAGAAGGCUUUCGGGUGGUAAACUUCUUUUCUGAGGGACGAAGAAAGUGACGGUACCUCAGGAAUAAGCCACGGCUAACUACGUGCCAGCAGCCGCGGUAAUACGUAGGUGGCAAGCGUUAUCCGGAUUUAUUGGUUGCAAAGGUCGUGUAGGUGGGAAAGCAAGUCAGAUGUGAAGACUCAGGGCUCAACCCUGGGCCUGCCUUUGAAACUGUUUUGCUUGAGUGCUGGAGAGGCGAUCGGAAUUCCGUGUGUAGCGGUGAAAUGCGUAGAUAUACGGAGGAACACCAGUGGCGAAGGCGGAUUGCUGGACUGUAACUGACGCUGAGGCGCGAAAGCGUGGGGAGCAAACAGGAUUAGAUACCCGAGUAGUC